GUGUCUAAGCACUCCGAGAGUUCUGUCAUGUACUCGUAAUACACCUGAGAGGAGGGUAUUAUUCCCAUGUUUCAGAAGAUAAAACUGAGGCUCAGAGAGGUGAGAUAACUUGUACCAGUUCAUAUCAUCAGUGAGUGGCUGGACUAGGAUGGAAACUGAGGGCUUCACCACCCAGGCAAGAGGGCAGGGGCCAGCCUGUGGAAAGAUAUGGAAGAAUGCAAGCUCGGCCCACGGAAGAGCUGUGAGCAGCUUCAUCCUGCUGCAGUGGAAAGAAGCAACUCGUAGAAAGGGCUCUGCAGGGGCCUGGACGUCAGCAGAUGAUGGCAGAGGAAGCUGAACGGAGAGCUGGGCCAGGUCUCAUCAGCAGAGGAGCUGCCUUUGGGAGACGCCUUCCUUGUUAGGCAAUUCUGUGGUUGGUUCUGGACAUUGUUCUUGGACACUCAGCUGCAUCCUGCUUCUCAAGACACCCAACAACUCAACGAGCUACUUAACAGUCUUCAUUAAAUUC
rnacentral:lncRNA from 10 species